CCUACGGGUGGCAGCAGUGGGGAAUAUUGCACAAUGGGCGAAAGCCUGAUGCAGCAACGCCGCGGGAAGGAAGAAGGGUUUCGGCUCGUAAACUUCUAUCAACAGGGACGAAAGAAAUGUCGGUACCUGAAUAAGAAGCCCCGGCUAACUACGUGCCAACAGCCGCGGUAAUACGGAGGGGGCAAGCGUUAUCCGGAAUUACUGGGUGUAAAGGGUGAGUAGGCGGCAUGGGAAGCCAGAUGUGAAAGCCUGGGGCUUAACCCGAGGAUUGCAUUUGGAACUAUCAAGCUAGAGUACAGGAGUGGACAGCGGAAUUCCUAGUGUAGCGGUGACAUGCGUAGAUAUUAGGCAGUACACCAGUGGCGAAGGCGGCUUUCUGGACUGAAACUGACGCUGCGGCACGACAGCGUGGGGAGCGAACAGGAUUAGAUACCCUUGUAGUC
rnacentral:rRNA from 1 species